rnacentral:RNase_P_RNA from 1 species
AGAGUGGGUCGGGCGGUCGCUGGUUCGCCUCUGGCGUGCCGGAGGAAAGUCCGAGCAGGACAGGGCAACGGUGGUGGCUAACGGCCACCCGGGGUGACCCGCGGGAAAGUGCCGCAGAAAAUACACAGCCGAUGGCCCCGAUUCGUCGGGAAACAGGCAAAGGUGAAAUGGUGCGGUAAGAGCGCACCGCGGCGUCGGUGACGACGCCGGCAGGGCAAACCCCACCGCCUGCAAGACCAAGCAGCCGGUUACUCGGCCCGGGUGUGAGCGGUUAAGUUUACCGCUCUGCCGGCGGGUAGGUCGCUUGCCGAAAGGCAGAGCCGGCCGGCAACGGUCGGUCAAGAUAAAUGAUCGCCGCCCGCUGUUAUCGGCGGGACACAGGACUCGGCUUACAGACCCACUCUUUUC